UACGUAGGUGGCAAGCGUUGUCCGGAUUUACUGGGCGUAAAGGGCGUGUAGGCGGCCAACUAAGUCCGACGUGAAAUCCCUCGGCUUAACCGAGGAACUGCCUCCCAAACUGCUUGGCUUGAGACCGGGAGAGGUGAGUGGAAUUCCCAGUGUAGCGGUGAAAUGCGUAGAUAUUGGGAGGAACACCAGUGGCGAAGGCGGCUCACUGGACCGGUACUGACGCUGAUGCGCGAAAGCGUGGGGAGCAAACGGG
rnacentral:rRNA from 1 species